CAGGACUCUGUGAGACAGCAGGAGGACAGAGGACAGGUGAGGACAGGUGUGGAGAGGACAGGUGAGGAGAGGUGAGGACAGGUGAGGACAGGACAGAGAGGACAGGUGAGGAGAGGUGAGGACAGAAGAGGACAGGUGAGGACAGGUGAGGACAGGAGAGGACAGGAGAGGAGAGGUGAGGACAGAGAGGAUAGGUGAGGACAGAGAGGAUAGGUGAGGACAGAGAGGAUAGGUGAGGACAGGUGAGGACAGAGAGGAUAGGUGAGGACAGGUGAGGACAGAGAGGAUAGGUGAGGACAGGUGAGGACAGAGAGGAUAGGUGAGGACAGAGAGGAUAGGUGAGGACAGGUGAGGACAGAGAGGAUAGGUGAGGACAGAGAGGACAGGUGAGGACAGAGAGGAUAGGUGAGGACAGGUGAGGACAGAGAGGAUAGGUGAGGACAGAGAGGAUAGGUGAGGACAGGUGAGGACAGAGAGGAUAGGUGAGGACAGGUGAGGACAGAGAGGACAGGUGAGGACAGAGAGGAUAGGUGAGGACAGAGAGGACAGGUGAGGACAGGAGAGGAUAGGUGAGGACAGGUGAGGACAGAGAGGAUAGGUGAGGACAGGUGAGGACAGGAGAGGAUAGGUGAGGAUAGGUGAGGACAGGUGAGGACAGGUGAGGACAGAGAGGAUAGGU